UACGAAGGGGGCUAGCGUUGUUCGGAUUUACUGGGCGUAAAGCGCACGUAGGCGGAUCGAUCAGUCAGGGGUGAAAUCCCAGAGCUCAACUCUGGAACUGCCUUUGAUACUGUCGAUCUGGAGUAUGGAAGAGGUGAGUGGAAUUCCUGGUGUAGCGGUGGAAUGCGCAGAUAUCAGGAGGAACACCAUAGGCGAAGGCAGCUCGCUGGAACGGUACUGACGCUAAGGCGCGAAAGCGUGGGGAGCGAACGAGG
rnacentral:rRNA from 1 species